GACGAACGCUGGCGGCGUGCCUAAUACAUGCAAGUAGAACGCACAGUUUAUACCGUCUCUUGCUACACCAUAGACUGUGAGUUGCGAACGGGUGAGUAACGCGUAGGUAACCUGCCUGGUAGCGGGGGAUAACUAUUGGAAACGAUAGCUAAUACCGCAUAAUAUUAAUUAUUGCAUGAUAAUUAAUUGAAAGGUGCAAUUGCACCACUACCAGAUGGUCCUGCGUUGUAUUAGCUAGUAGGUGAGGUAACGGCUCACCUAGGCGACGAUACAUAGCCGACCUGAGAGGGUGAUCGGCCACACUGGGACUGAGACACGGCCCAGACUCCUACGGGAGGCAGCAGUAGGGAAUCUUCGGCAAUGGACGAAAGUCUGACCGAGCAACGCCGCGUGAGUGAAGAAGGGUUUCGGAUCGUAAAGCUCUGUUGUAAGAGAAGAACGGGUGUGAGAGUGGAAAGUUCACACUGUGACGGUAUCUUACCAGAAAGGGACGGCUAACUACGUG
rnacentral:rRNA from 1 species